CUACUACUCCCUCUGUUCGAAAAUACUUGUCAUUGAAAUUGAUGUAUCUAGAUUUAUUUUAGUUCUAGACACAUCCAUUUUGAUGACAAGUAAUUCCAGACGGAGGGAGUAUUAU
rnacentral:pre_miRNA from 1 species